UUUGCUUCUACGUGGAGACUCACUGCUCUCCCAAACUGAUUUCAGGCUUGGCCAGGGAAGAGUGACCCUGCACAUGGACGGAAGGCCACUACGACGGCCCUCGGGCCGAAGUCCCAGCCACAGCCUUCUGGAGCAGUCAGCUGAUGAGCUGCUCUCCUAUGACAGAGCCUCAGAGAGAGGACAUGGCAGAGGAGGAGAGAUGGUGGAUGCUGGCAUCUGCAUGCCUGGAUUCAAACCGUGCCCUUAACCGCUUACCUGCUCUGUGACCUAGGGCAAGUUACUGAACCUCUCUGUGCUGGAGAAGCGAAGCCCCUACUUUCCUUGCGUAUUGUUGCAAGUAGUAGCUGAGUUCAGAUACAGCUCAAGACAGAAGGGUGCUUGGCACCUAGAAAGGAAAAACGUCUUUAGGUGAAGAAUAGAAGUACAUAAGGCUUCUUCUGCGGGACCACAACCGCUGUUCCUGGGAUCCUUACUCCUUGUUCAAUUGCUGUCUUAACCUCGUGGAAAUGAAGCCGAGGAGGAGGCGAGCCACUUCAGAAAACACACAGAAGAUUCAUCCUCACCUCGCAGGAGAUAAAAAAAAUCUAAGGAUGCACUGCUCUCCCUCUGCAUUUUCAUCAGUUUAGAAAGAGUGUGUGCAAACAAUACAUCUGCUCAUGCAAGGGGUGAGCCCAUCAAAAAGAGAUCAGAGGCAAUAAGAGCAUCUCUGCCAGGUACAGGACCUGGGACUCUGCAAAGAGACAGAAGCAUGGUGGAUAGAGAGCAAGGAAAGAGCACAUUUCCACAAAGUAGGAAGCGAUUCACCAUGUCAUGCACCCCCUGCCUUUGGGAUUAGGAAGGAAAUCCAUGCUUCUGCCCUGUGCCAGGGCUGGUCCUGCCCACCUCUGUGCAGAGCAUGGAGUCCAGGGUGGGGGAGGGGGGGCAGGGAGUGCCUCUCUCUGAUACUGUCUGGUGCUGAAGGGCAAAUUGUCAGUAGCGGGAACUGGGAGCUCCAAGAGCUCACCGUGGUGGUUCCGUUAUAAUCAGAACUGUCGAGUGGGUUUUUGUGGGAUCUCCAUAAUCCCUUCUUACUUGGUAGCUUCCUCUUUUCAGACUCGCUCUACAGCUUGGUUACCCUGAAGAGAAGAUGCCCCAUUCUCUCUGGAUCAGAGGCUCUUGCCUCCCUGUGUCUCAGUCCUCUUCAGGAAAUAUCCAUCCAUGCCCUGUGUCCUAUUGCUAAAGAGACCAAAGUUCAGGGGGACCACCUG